rnacentral:rRNA from 1 species
AGCGAACGCUGGCGGCAGGCCUAACACAUGCAAGUCGAACGAACUCUUCGGAGUUAGUGGCGGACGGGUGAGUAACACGUGGGAACGUGCCCGUAGGUUCGGAAUAACUCAGGGAAACUUGUGCUAAUACCGAAUGUGCCCUUCGGGGGAAAGAUUUAUCGCCUUUAGGGCGGCCCGCGUCUGAUUAGCUGGUUGGUGAGGUAAAGGCUCGCCAAGGCGACGAUCAGUAGCUGGUCUGAGAGGAUGAUAAGCCACAUUGGGAAUGAGACACGGACCAAACUCCUACGGGAGGCAGCAGUGGAGAAUCUUGCGCAAUGGGCGAAAACCUGACACAGCCAUGCCGGGUGAAUGAGGCAGGUCUUAGGAUUGUGAUAUUCUUUCACCCGAAACGAUAGUGACGGUACCCGGAGAAGAAGCCCCGGCUAACUUCGUG